AAACAUGAGAGUUUGAUCCUGGCUCAGAACGAACGCUGGCGGCAGGCNNNNNNNNNNNNGCUUAACACAUGCAAGUCGAACGGAUCCUUCGGGAUUAGUGGCGCACGGGUGAGUAACGCGUGGGAACGUGCCUCUGGGUAGGGAAUAAUGUCUGGAAACGGACACUAAUACCUUAUAAUGACUUCGGUCCAAAGAUUUAUCGCCCAGAGAUCGGCCCGCGUCUGAUUAGUUUGUUGGUGGGGUAACGGCCUACCAAGACUACGAUCAGUAGCUGGUCUGAGAGGAUGAUCA
rnacentral:rRNA from 1 species